rnacentral:rRNA from 1 species
UGAGACGUGGGGUGCAAGCAUUAUCCGGAAUUACUGGGCGUAAAGAGUUCUGUAGGCGUUCUGUAAAGUUCUUAUUUAAAUCUUCAGGCUCAACCUGGAUCACGGUAAGAAAACUCACAGAAUAGAGAAUAGUAGGGACAUGGGGAACAAAUGGUGGAGCAGUGAAAUGCGUUGAUAUCAUUUGGAACACCAAAGGCGAAGGCACCAUGUUGGGCUAUUUCUGACGCUGAGAGACGAAAGCGUGGGGAGCAAAACGGAUUAGAUACCCGUGUAGUCCACGCCGUAAACGAUGGAUACUAGAUAUUAUCGGUAUUGACCCCGGUAGUGUCGUAAGCUAACGCGUUAAGUAUCCCGCCUGGGGAGUACGGUCGCAAGGCUA